rnacentral:rRNA from 1 species
UACGAAGGGGGCUAGCGUUGCUCGGAAUCACUGGGCGUAAAGGGUGCGUAGGCGGGUUUUAAGUCAGGGGUGAAAUCCUGGAGCUCAACUCCAGAACUGCCUUUGAUACUGAAGAUCUUGAGUCCGGGAGAGGUGAGUGGAACUGCGAGUGUAGAGGUGAAAUUCGUAGAUAUUCGCAAGAACACCAGUGGCGAAGGCGGCUCACUGGCCCGGUACUGACGCUGAGGCACGAAAGCGUGGGGAGCGAACAGG